ACAACAGCUCUGUGAGAUGGUGUUGCUGAUGAAGAUGCUUUUGAGGCUUGGUUCCUCAAAUUUGCUUGCUUCCUUAAGUGCUUGGCAGUUUUCUCAAUCUCAGGGUCAUAAAGAAGAGUGUCUUUACGGCCAGACCUGGUCAUAAAGGGAAAAUACGUUAGUUAGAUCAAUUCCCCGGCAACGGCGCCAAUUUUUGAUAGGCGGUUGUCGAAGCCGUCAAAAAUAAACCUAUUAAACAAUCAACAAUAAACUUGUAGAUAGUGGCAAUAGGGUCGAACCACAGGAAAUUGACACCAAUGAUUUUCCUAAUAAUGACUAGGUCAAGUAAAUAACAAGUAAUUAAAAGAGGGGGGUUU
rnacentral:lncRNA from 1 species